GAUUUCUUUGUUUUGCUCUAUGGGACUGGGGAGAUCGUAGAAAACAUGAUGCCCAACAUCUUCUGGAUCCGCUUCCACUAUGGAUUUCUUAUGAAACCACCUAGGACAGAUCCCACAAGCUCUAACCAGGUAGGCUACAGAUUCUCACUCUCACCUUUCAUAUUGCUAAAAAUUUUGAAUCUUUCCUUUGCCUGCAGUGUCCUGUUUUCUUCUGGUGUAUUGCAAGGAUGUAUAUGUCUAAUUAAUUUUCCUUUUUCUGUUGGAUUUGGUUCAAAUAUAUAAGUUGAACAACUACCAAAUUUGGUAUAUUUCUG
rnacentral:misc_RNA from 1 species